GGGGAUUUAACUCAGUGGUAGAGUGCUUGCCUAGCAAGCACAAGGCCCUGGGUUCGGUCCCCAGCUCUG
rnacentral:tRNA from 1 species